rnacentral:lncRNA from 1 species
CCUGGUCAUUGUGGAAAAUGGAGAUAAGAGCUUGUAAUACAAAGUUGCAGUCUGCCAGUCCUCAUUUUUAUUUAUAUUUAUUUAUUUAUUUAUAUGAUUUGCACAUCAGACAACCUUUGAAAAAGUUUGUUAGUGUGUAACAGUGGUGUUUGAAAUGUAUCAACACUUUCUUCAAGAGUUCCCCCAAACAAACUUGAAAUGUAAAUAAUUGGUUAGAGGUUAGAAUUUUCCUCCUGUCAUACCGCUUCAGCCCUCAAUGUGGCUGUUGAUCAUCCUGGACUCAGAUGCAGCAUAGGCUGAGCGUGAGAUUCUGCCCUUCUGUUCUCUUUACCCUCAGACAGUCCCUGGUCUGAGGGAAAGGCAGCCGUGGAGGAAGUGCCAGUCUGGACAGGCUCUUCUGCUGGAAACCCACAUCCCAAGUUUCUCUCUACCUUCAGUGAUAUCUUUAUUGUGAAAUUCCAAACUGUGGUCCCUGAAUUGAGGCUGUUGCACCAAUAUUGUUGUGUGUUGCCAUACAACAAAUUGCAAAGGUUAGGAGACUGGAUGUCAGCCCUUAAUUAAAGACCUGCAAAUAUUUCUGCCCCUUGCACCUUGACCUUCAAGCAAUGGAAAACUUGUCUUUCCUUCAGACCUUUGAUUAGAACUCUAGGCUGAGUUCUAUACUUGGAAUGACUCUGAAUGUUACCAUGUCACCUACCUGUGUCCCCUGGCCUCAUCCUUGUGAGUACAUAAGUGUCAUUGAUAUCACCUCUGUGAAUCGCAAACUUCCCAUUAGCAGCCCAUCCCUGAACCUAACCCUGCACCCAGGGUGCUGUUUGUUCCCUGCCCACCCCUUCAUACCUUCACUCUGUGUGUCCUUCCCCGUCCUGGCACACUUCCAAGUGCCUUCUGUAUCCUCACUAUAGUUCAUUCUGAUGGAUUUGGUCAGGGCUGGGCUCACAUCAGGUGUGAAACUCCUGCUCCUGCCUGUCUCCAUGCCUAGCCUCCAUCUGGGAUGCUUUCCUGGAUGUCAUCCUUCUUGGAGAUUGUCUAUCGGGGAUCCAGUGUUCCUUUUUCCAGUCUAGCCCCACCUUCAGGGAGCAAACCUCAGGUCAUUAGGGCCAAGCAAGAUGGACUGCAUUGACACAGGCCCCAUGCAAUUCAGGACAGUGGGGGUGCCGAUGGGCUUUCCUACUCCUGAACAUGCCAACUGUGGUCAAGGGGUGGACUGCCCCUGAGUGUGCCAAGUACCUCUAGGGGUCACUGUGGCCUAGUGUCACUGCAAGACUUAGUUUCAGCUGUGGCACCACCCCAGUAUGGAACUUGCAGCUCUGUAAGCCACAAAGAACUCAGUCAGCCUCAGACAUCAGGCACCAGGCACUCAGGCUGGAUGGAAUAGCAGAGGUUAUCUUGUCCAGUGGGUCUCAUGUUUGGCUCACAUCAGAAUAGCCUAACAGCUUAAUAAUGUUCCCCUAAACUUUGUUUUGAGAAAUUUCAAGCCUACAGAAAAGUUGAAAGAAGAGUGCAAUGAUUGCCCCUCCCCCCAAAUUUUGUCUCGUUUGCUUUCUCUUUUUUCCAAAUUAUUAAAAGCAAUUUGCUGUUUUUUUUAAAAAAAGUAAAUUAUAGGCAUGACACUUCACCUUUCUAAUACUUCAGCUUAUAUUACCUAAGAAUAAGAACAUUCUUAUUUUUUAAUAUAAUUUUAAAUUUUAUUAUAAUUUUAAAAUAUCACAUCUAAGAAAAUUACCAGAAUUUGAUAUCAUCUAAUAAACAAUUCCUAUUAAAAUUGGCCCAGGUGUUCCAAAAUGUUGUUUAUGCAAUUUUUUCCCUAAAUAUAGGUUUCACUCAAAGUUCAUGUUGUUAUAACUAGUCUCAAUCUAGAAUAAUCUGCCUCAAAAAAUAGAUUCUCUAACUCUUCUUGAGGUUUUGAUUCUGUAGAUUUGGUGUGACGUUGGAAUCAGUAUUCUCUUUUUUUGAGAGAGAGUCUUGCUCUGUCACCCAGGCUGGAGUGCAGUGGCGCGAUCUCAGCAUACUGCCACCUGUGCCACCCGGGCUCAAGCGAUUCUCCUGUCUCAGCCUCCUGAGUAGCUGGGACUACAGGUGUGUGCCACCACACCUGGCUAAUUUAUAUAUAUUUUUAGUAGAGAUGGAGUUUCACCAUGUUGGCUAGGCUGGUCUUGAACUGGCCUCAAGUGAUCCGCCCACCUUGGCCUCCCAAAGUGCUGGGAUUACAGGCGUGAGCCACCACGCCAGCCUGGAAUUUAUAUUUUCUAAACAAGUAACACUGAUGAUUCUGCUGAUAAACCAGGGUUUCAAGCCAGACUGGCCCUCUACUAUACCUCCACCCUCUCCCAAUACAUAUAGCCACUAGACAGGAGUCCUUUGUCAGAUAAGUGGUCUUUGAGCUUCCGAAUAUCUCUAAGGGAGUAUGUUCUCCUAUCCCUUUGGGCCCCCAGCUAUGCAAUUUUCUUUAUAGUAGAUCUUCAUAAGAUGAAGUUGAAACCUUCCCUUGUAAUUCCUACCCAUCAAUGACAGGCCCAAACUGCCAUUCCAGGCCACACAGAACUGGCUGGCACCUCCUUUCACCUGAUAGUCCUUUUGAGAUAUGCAGCUUAUAAAGACAUGUGGCAUCUCAUGUCACGCUCAGGUGCUCAUGAAUUUCAGGCCCUUCACCAUCAUGAUUUUUUAUGCCUUCAUGAUGUGGCAGCCACAUCUGAGCAAAGCAUUCAGGACGCAGUGAUAGCAGUGCUGAACUGAGUCCAGGGGAUUGACCGCUCUUCUCAGGGACGCUCCACUUUUCACACUAUAUACCAUUGCUUCCUGUGGAACUCGGUCCAACUAACUGCCUCAGGUCUUUUUCACAUGAUCGAUCUGCUGUCAAAUCACUUUCCCGUUAUGCACUUACAGAGCCAAUUUUUGGAGCACAAAUGUGAGAUUUUAUGUGUGCCCAACUGUUAGGAUUUCAUCGUGUUACAGUUUCUACCCAUCUUCAAGUGAGUUCACAUUCUUGAUGAUCCCGAUUUGGCCAUCUGACAUGGUUAGCUAUGCAUCCGAGCUUUGAGAUAGCAGAUUGAAUAAACAAGCCUUCAAUGCGUUUGUUAAAAGCAUUGAACAAGACAGAGCCAUGGAAGAUCCCUCUGGUAGAAAACUCACUUUACAUGGCAACCCACUUCACAUACCCAGCAAGUUUCGUGUGAUAAUGUGCUCUGAUGUUUUCUAUUAAGUUCAUUCCUGUUUGUUUGUUUGUUUGUUUACUUAUAGAGACAGGGUCUCACUUUCUCACCCAGGCUGGAGUGCAGUGGUGCAAUUGCAGUUCACUCUAACCUUGUACUCCUGGGCUCAAGCAAUCCUCCUGCCUCAGCCUUCUGAGUAGCUAGGACUACAGGCAUGUACCAGCAUGCCUGGCUAAUUAAAAACUUUUUUUUUCUGGAGAUGAGUUCUCGCCGUGUUGCCCAGGCUGGUCUUGAACUCCUGGCCUCAAGCAAUACUCUCACUUUGGCCUCCCUAAGUGCUGGGAUUAUGGGCUUGAGCCAAGUCACUGAGCCCAUUUCUGUUUCUUUAGAAGGAAAAACACUGAAUUGAUUGCAUUAUGGAGAAAUAAGUCUCCAUCACAAUUUGCCUGUGAGUCACUCUGGGAUAGGGAGAGUGCCUGCCGCAUCUCUGGGUCUACAUGGCAUGACUGGGCCAAUGUUUGGAUGCCAGCAGUGGGCAGGGAGGCUGCUGGGGAAACUUGGGGUCCCACAUAAUCAUCUUUCCACUUGUCAGUGCGGGACAGUUGAGGACAACUGACUUCAUCCUUCUGAAUCAGGUUCCUCACCUGCAAGCAGGUUGAGAAGGACCUGCAGGAUUGGUUGAGGAUUGAAUAAGAUAACAUGUGCAGUUUGGUAAGCUCUUAAUAAAUGGUAGCCAGUUACUGUGAAUUCUUGAGAAUGAUUAUUGGUGUCUGAUGAAAGUCAUCCUGAUCUGAGAGAGUGAAGGACAGAGCCGGGCCUCAGUAUGGUGUUAACCUGAGGUGGUGGAAGUGGUUCAAUCUCUUCUCAAAUCCUAAGACUGUGAUGUGUUGCAACCAGCCCUUUGAGCAUAUCCGUGCUUUACAGUUUGCAGAGCGCUUUCCAGUUAGAGCUUAUGCAGUCCACCAUUUGAAUCGGCGCGAUUCAUCCCAUUUCACAAACGAAGCAACAAACUCUAGGAACUUACCAAGAUUUUCCAGUUUCCAAUCUAAUGUUUACCCUCAACUCCCCCCUCAAGGUUGUUGCAGUUAUUUUCAUUUGCUUUCUUUUUUUUAAUAUAUAUAUAUAUUUUUUAUUAUACUUUAAGUUCUAGGGUACAUGUGCACAACGUGCAGGUUUGUUACAUAUGUAUACAUGUGCCAUGUUGGUGUGCUGCACCCAUUAACUUGUCAUUUACAUUAGGUGUAUCUCCUAAUGCUAUCCCUCCCCCCUCCCCCCACCCCACAACAGGCCCUGGGGUGUGAUGUUCCCCUUCCUGUGUCCAAGUGUUCUCAUUGUUCGAUUCCCACCUAUGAGUGAGAACAUGCGGUGUUUGGUUUUUUUGUCCUUGCGAUAGUUUGCUGAGAAUGAUGGUUUCCAGCUUCAUCCAUGUUGCUUUCUAAUUCGGUCAUUCAUGCAUUUACCCAUUUCAGCCCUACAGUGCCCUGCUAACUCUUUAGAGGCAGGAGGAUAAUGGAGUUGAUUCUUUUCUGAGGCCCCUGCAGGGUUUUGCAAAUAGUGAGUGACACUCAAGAGAUGUUUUGGAGUUAUGCAGCAAGUCAGAAACGUGGAGCUUAUCCUGCUUGAGUCCUAAUGUGCUCAUUUCACUUGGGCAGGGGGCGCAGGGACACAGAAGGGUGGAGACCUGGGUCCUGCUAUGUGGCUGUGAUCAAGCCUGGGUCUUGAAUAACACCCGGGUACUGAGCAUUGCUGAACUCAUGCCUGAACUCCCAGGGCACUUUCCCCGGGCACCCUAUGUUAGGCUCUGCAGUCUCGUCUGUGGUCUGAGGCAGUCACCCUGGUGGGAAGAUGGAAGCGUGGAGGUGGCAGUCAGAGUGCGCUGAGCAAGGGCUUUUGUGUGUUUGACCCUCGGAGAAGCAGAGCUAAAAUUAGGUCUUCCAGCUGUGUGCAGGUGUGAAGCCCCACCCCCUUACCUACCCCCAACCAGGAUCUCAGAAUUAUUCCCAUCCUCUCCCUCCUCCAGCCCCAGUUACUCCACAGGCACAGGAUGAAAUGUCCUACCUCUGGUGAUGCCCGGAUAGAAAGAUCUACCCAAAUGUCCUUCAAGGCUGCAGGGGUGGGGGCAGUGACAGGCAGUGACCUUAAGUUUGCUGAGCCUCCCUAGCACCUUUGAGGUCUUGGUGCAACCGGGGCCCAACUGGCUCCUUCUUAGACCACCAGACAGGAUGAUGUUUUGGUUCCCUCCCUGCACACAUGAAGGGACCCUGGCUUCUCCCACUAGCCUCUUGAUUGAUGUGCUCUGUGCCCCUACUCUGCCCACCACUUCAGAGAGAGCCUUUGACCCCUCGCCACCCAUCACCAUUCAGACACAGAUGGAAGAGAGCUAGUCUGGGGGCAGAGAUGGAAGAGCCCUGCCCUGGGGGGUCUUAUCCAAGGCAGGUGGAGCCCAGGAUGAUAUGAUUUGAUUGUGCUCUCUCUCCCUGCAUGAGGCUAGAAUAGGAACAGACUGGCCCUCCUCAGGGAUAAAUGUGCCCCUCACUCCUCCUUCACUAUGGCCCUUGGAACCCUGCUCUCAGGGGUUCCCCAGCUGAGGCUCAUACUCUUUCAUGUUCUGGUCUGGGGUGAGAACCUGCCUUCUACUUCUGGCUCCUCGGUGUACCUGCGAUAGGAUCUUAGUUAAGUAGCCGCUCCUCACUCUUCAGUUCCUUUAUCUGUAAAGUGAGGGGUUGGGGCUAGACAGUGUCCAGCAUCCCUCCUCUUUGGUGUCUCUUAAUUGUCCAGGGCAGAGCAAUCCUUGGAGCAAGGCAGCCUGCUGCGGUGGUUUGCAGAAGAGGCACAGUGGGGCGGGCUGGAGGCCGCAGGGGCAGAGUGGGCCGAGGGCCUCUGAUGAGGUGUGAAUGAGGGAGGCAGAGCAGGGCUGGUGUGGACAGCCCUGUCCCAGCCCUAUCUCCCGUCUGCGACACCCUCUCCACACCCCAGUGCUGAUAAGCGGGUGUGAGCCACGGCCGCCUUGUGACAGGCCCUUCGGCAGGGAGGGUGAUGGUGGGGGUCCACUCCACUUCUGAAUUCAGACGUCAGCAUCUUUUUCCCCCAACCCCCAUUGCCCUGUCAGACUAGACAGGCCCUAGCAACCAGGCACCCUCCCUGACAGUCCCUGGCUUGGAGAUUUGUUUCUGCUCCAUGUGGCCUCAGCCUUCUCAGAGAUGGUAGGAGACAGACCUCCCUCAGUCCUUUCUGGCAAAGUGCCAAGGAGGAUGACCACCUCCCACCCCCAUCAGGCCCGUUCCUGCAGUGACUGCUGAUGCUGGGGCCUGGCACACACAGUGCUUCUUAUCACUGGGCAAACUUCAAUGGCUGAUCCUUUUGUCUCCUCUCCUCACCCCAUCUCCUCUAUCGCUGUGACCAUCAGCUUCCAGUCUUCCCCCUCCAGCUCCCUAGCUUUUGGGCCAUUUCUGUGUCUGGGCCCACCUCUUUCCUCUAAGGCCACUGUUCACCAGAAGGCUGUGCCAGAAACCUCUUAUUUCUGGAUUCACUGGGAUGGGGUGGAGGGAACGGAAAAGUCUUGGAGAAAGAGAGACAGAAACUUGGAGCUCUAGGGAAGGGGAAGGAGAAGACAAAUAGGACCAAGCCAGAGGCUAUAGGAAACCCUUCAGGGUGGAGGGUCUUGGCCCAGGUGUCUAGCCCCUAGGCUCUAUGGCACUGAACUCUGAACUUCCUUCCAUGCUCUAAAAGGCUCUCUUCUGUGUUCAGAUCUGAAGACUAUUUUGAUUAGCAGGCUGCAUCCAUACUGCUCCGGGCAGUCCCACUGUAUGUGUCUGUGGGGAAGGGUGUGCCUGUCCUCCUGUGUGCAUUCCUGUCUAUGGGUUCCAUUCUCAGCCUCUGCAUAGCUUAGGAGGCAUCAGAGCAUCCUGAGAGCACAGACUUGAGCCAGGCUUAUUAGCCUGGGGUCAUAUCUUUGCCAUCUUAACCAGGUGGGGGAGCUACAGCAAGUAGCGUAACUGCCCUGUGCCUUGGUUUCCCCAUCUGUAAAAUGAAGAUGACAACAUGGAUGAUAGAUAAUACCAUAUACCUUGUAGAACUGUUAUAAGUACCAAAUGAGCUAAAAUAAGUAACGUGUUUUAAACCGUAUCGGGUACAAUGUAAUUAUUGGCCAUUAGUAAUAUUUUUGUAAAUUUUAUUUUAAUAUAAUUUCAAACUUAGAUACGGAAAAGUUGCAAGAAAUUCCCAUAUGCCCUUUAUGCAGAUUCAGCAAUUGUUUAUAUUUUGCACAUUUAUUUUAUCAUUCUCUCUUUCCUCAUAUAUAUGUGUGUGCUUAUGAUGUACUCUGUAUUCGUAUCUACCAUAUAUAGUAUAUAUACACAUACGCACAUGCACACACAUAUUUUUUUCAGAGUCACGUGAGAAUAAGUUGAAUACAUCAUGCCUUUUUUGCCCUAAAUACUUGUGUGUUUUGGUAAGGACAAGGAUAUUCUCUUACAAAACCAUAGUAUAGUUAUUAAAAUCAGAAAAUCUAACAUUGGUCUAAUACUGUUAUUGAAUCCACAGUCCACGUGUAUAUUUCAUCAGUUGUCUCAUCAUAUCUUCUUUCUUUCUAUUUCUUUCUUUCUUUCUUUCUUUUUUGAGAUGGAGUCUUACUCUGCUGCCCAGGCUGGAGUGCAGUGGUGUGAUCCUGGCUCAUUGCAACCUCUGCCUUCUGGGUUCAAGCGAUUCUCCUGCCUCAGCCUCCCAAGUAGCUGGGAUUACAGGCAUGCACCACCACAACCAGCUAAUUUUUAUAUUUUUAGUAGAGAUGGGGUUUCACCAUGUUGGCCAGGCUGGUCUCGAACCCCUGGCCUCAGAUGAUUCACCCACCUCUGCCUCCCAAAGUACAGGCGUGAACUACCAAGCCUGGCCUAUUUCUAUUUCUUUUUCCUGUUCCAGGGCCACUCAUUGUAUUCAGUUUCCAUGUCUCUUUCACCUCCUUUAAUCUGGGAGAGUUCCUCAGCCUUUCUUUGUGUUUCUUGAAUUUGACAAUUUUGAAGCGUGCAGGCCAGUUAUUUGAAGAAUGAUGUUGCUCAAAUCCUGUUGGAUGCGUCCUCAUUAUGACUUUCAGGUGAUGUGUUUUGGGGAUGAUUGCUGAAGGUGAUGUGUCUUUCUCAGAGUCUUACAUCAGGAGGCACAUUAUGUCAACUUUUCCACUUGUUAGUGAUAUUAUCUUUGAUCACUUAGUUUAAGUGGUGUCUGUUCCCCCUCCUGUAGAAUUACUAUUUUCUCUUUCUAAGUAAUAAGUAAUUGUGGGGAGAUAGUUUGAGACUAUAUUCCUCAUCAAACUUAUACCCACUAGUUUUUGCCCACUAAUAAUUUUUUACACCAUCAUUACUUCUAAACUUACUAGUUGGCCCAUUCAUACUGGCUCCUGUGUCUUUUGACAUUUAUCUUCAUCCGUCUUUAAGCACUUUUUUGCUUUCUGGCACAAUAAGAUGUUCCAGGUUUUCUGGUGUUUUCCUGGCUCUAGCCCUGAAUCAGCCAUUUCAUCAAGGAGCCCUGGUUCCUUUUAAUGGAGAAUGAUAUUUAGAAACCAAGAUUUGGGUGCUGUAGGUGCUCAUUCAUAUGGUGUGUUAUUGCUUCCAGUUGGUCCUUUUUAUUAUCCAUUCAUUUGGAUACAAUGGUGAGGGCGCCACUGAAGAAAGUGUGGCUUAGGGAUGGAAAGGGGGAAAGGAGCCAGAUGACCUAGGUAGAGACUCCCCUCUCCCCCUCUAGCUCUCCAGGUCUUCCCCACUUUCUCUUUCCUCCCUUUCCCUCUUCAUCAUGACCUCAUUUCCCUUUUCUUGAUCAAAAUUCCUCUGGAGAUUCCAGCUGUGGGAACCUCUGAAACCACUUCUGCAGCUACACGUGUGAUACCAGAGGCAGACAACUAUGUGACCUUUGUGUGUGAAAAGCCAAAGGCAAAGACAAUUUAUGAGAAAGUUUUUGCUGAGAACAAUCUGGUGACAGGGUGAUUGGGGAAGACACAUUUGGAAGAUUUCCACCUGGACGUGUUCCUUUUCCCUGCCUGAAAAGCACUCAGAGCAGAGCCUGUGUGGAGGCUGGGAUAGGGUGCUGUGGGAGGUCUGUUCUCCAGAUAAGCCUCUUCAAGGCUCUGGGGACCAACGAGGAGGAUUUAAGUGCCUGGUGAAGUCCACUCUCUGUGUCCACAAGUCACAGAGACAGUUUAAAAUGAAAUAACUGGAGUUCAAUGAAAGCCACUUAAAUAGCUUUCUUAGUUAUGUAAAUGUAGGGUGAAGAAUGAGUGGCCUUGGUCCCCCACCUGGAGUUAGUUUAUUGUUUUGAGACUAGAUCCAAAGCCUCCUCUCCCUGAGAUCUCUGGUAUGCAAAGCUGGUCCCUGGAGGAAGCGCAUCAGUUGACAGAGGGAGCCCAGAAUCUCUGUGAGGGAAGAAAACACUAUCCAACUGCUGCUCCUGGGAUUUGAAGUGAAGAGAAUUUGUUGGGAUGAAGUGAGGUGGCCACAAUAAAGGCGCUGGGCCAUGGGGCUUCUGAAAUGAGAUUAAUAUGAGGAACACCUGAGUCUAGGGUGGUGCCCGGGGCUUACAACAAGAACCCACCUGUGUUUCCUGGGGUAAGGCUGUCCUUAGCAUAGUGUGAGGCUAACUGCUGGGAGCUCUGGAGACUCUGCCAUGCUGACAUUGUGCCUGUGCUCCUGGCCAGGGACUGCCACCUAGAUAUGAGUCACAGUGGGGGGCCCCUGGGCUCCAGUUGACUUUGAGGAGUGAUACUGUCCCUGUGAGGACGCUAUGAGUGUCCUCAAUAGUGAUGUGGUAGUGCUGGUCAGACCCACAAUCCCUAUUUUCCUUGUUUUUUUGUGUGUUUUUUUUUGUUUUUUUUUUUUAAACACGAAAAAACAAACAAACAAAAACCUCAGAAAGUGAAAAUCCCUAAAGGGAGGGACUGGACGUGUCAUGUAAAUUCUUGAUUGGUUAACAGAAGAAAUUAAAAGUGGAUUGAGGGCACCUUUGUGCUCUGUGCCCAAGGGAAAGUUCAAACAGCUGCAUUCACAGAUACCAGAGACGCCAGUGUCUUCACCAUCACCAGCGACGUGUGGGUGCUGCCUCAACAGGUAUUGGGAACUUGCUCUUGUUUACAGCUUGGCUCCUCAUGGUAGCUGUAGGAGGCAGGAUCUGGGUGGAUGGGACCUGGGAUUCAUUCUUAGAAUAGGUCCCCAAAUGGUCAUCCAUUUUGCUUGCCGAGGGCUCUGUGGGGCAGACGUAGGAGGCCUGAGGGGCUGCCUGGGAGGUGAUCUGAGGAAGCCUCUUAUGGCACUUUCAUGGCUCUCCUAGCCAGAGACCAGAGACACCUCCUCUCCCACUUCUGAGCGCUCCAUCUACCAAUUUUGCAUCCGAAAUAGCUCCCAAGCUUCUCAUUCUCUACUAUCCCCAUCCUGGUCCAAGCCACCCUCAUCUCUCCCUAUAGAGAUCACCUGACUGGUUAUUCUCCCUCAUUGCACUUUGUACUCCCCUACCCCGCCAUAUAGUUUUGUAACUAUAAACAGCCUUGUUUGUGGAUUUGGAGGUGAAUACCUGUUUUCCUAACUUGAUUGUGAGCUACAUGAGGACAGGGACCUUGUCUGGUUUUAUCUAUAAGAUGCUCAAUGUGUGGUUGCUAAACAAAGAGUGGACAGACGCCUCGGUUUCCCCAGCUGGUCCCUAUGUAGGCUGAUCUCACUUGAUGGGAGUGAGUGAGUGAGGAAGGGGACCCUCUGGUUCUGGAGCCUCUCAUCUGGCCCUGCUGCUCAGUAUUCAUUGAUCCUUCAAAUGUCAGUGUGUCCACAGGAGAGAAAGGGUGGCAGGUAGGGCUGGCAGAAGGCAGAUGUGUGGCUUUAUAGUGAUCCUAUGCUUGGGGCUGGGUGGGUUUCAGCUGGGGUGUGGGAGCAGAGAAAUUGGCUUUGGGAGGCUCUGUGAUGGGGGCCUUGCAGCAGGUGGGUGGUGAGGGCAGCAUGGAGGUGGUGGCUGGCCUGGAAGGGAGGAGGACACUGGGUGGCUGGGGUGCCAAGAGAGUCCUGGUGGGGGCUGGUAGCUGGGAAGGCUGGGCAGGGCUGCCCGCAAUCAAGAGGGUGACAAUGAGUAUGAAGAGUAUGCUUAGUGGAAGUGAAGGCCUGGGAGGCUGGGAGGACCAGAGGUUCGUCUCCCCCAGCCGCGCCCUUGCUCCUUGCUCUCAUCUUCCUCACCCUUCCUGCACCCUGGCCGCUUGGGACCUCCUCUUCUCCCUGAUCUGGUCUUUCAGAAAUCUCUGGCCUCUAACCUCUAUAACCCCUUCCUCUCCCAGCCUCCCAGCCCUGUCCACUCCCCGAGUCACAUCCCCACCAGCCCUCCUGCCCUGCCUGCAGCCUGGGCCCUGCUGAGCUGCCGUGCCCUUCUCUCAUCACCUCCUCCUCGCUCCCUGUGGCACCUUGGCACCAGCCCCAGAUCUGUGUGCACUGAUUUCCCAACAUUCCUGUCCUCCUUCCCACCCCACUGCCCCAAAGGGAGGGGCUCAAGGACUUGAGACGCUUCCCUUGGGGGGCCCAGCUUUCCCCCAGAGUCAGGGAGGGAUGAAGGCAGGGCUGCUGGAGGGCUGGGCCCGCAGACCUGUGGAGCUGCCUAGUGGGAGGUAGAGGGCUGGAGUGGGAGAGCAUGCGGAGCCACCGUGGGGGCAGGAGAUGCAGCCCUGCAAGGCCACACUGCUCUCCCCAGCUUCCCACUGUCUAUUGGUCUUGCCUGGUGUCACCUGCCCUUCCCAGCUCUGCCUCUGACUUCUGCAUCUCCCCUGAUCCUUUCAGUUUCUCAUGGUCCUUCUUAUGGGUGAUUAAGGAGUUGGGCCCUAGGCCAUUUCUGGAAGGCAGGAGUUGGAGGUGAGCUUCCUGUUGCCUUGUGUGUGUAACUCUAGAGUCCCGUAGGUGGGUGGCUGCUGGACGUGCCCUGGGAGGGGAAAGGGACCUGUAAGGGUGUGUCCAUAAACAGAGCGAUUCUAGAACUCAGGGAUGCUACUGUGGACAGGACUUAGAGAUUGUUCAGCCCCCACCCUCUUCCACAACCAUUUAUAGAUGAAAACAUUGGGCUUUAAGAGGGAAAUAGGAUUGACAUGAACGAGUCACGUAGGGGUUAGUAAUCAUCAUCACUGUCAUCAUACUAGACAUUUAUUAAGUGCUUACUAUAUUUGAGGGAUCAUUGUAAAUUCUUUACAAAUCUUAAUUUUCAUAGUCCUCACACUACCCUGGGAAGCAGCUGUUGUUAUUUUCCCCAUUUUACAGACAAGGGAACAGAGACUGGAACAGUGAGGUCAGUUUCCCCAGAUCACACAGAAAGCCUGUGUCAGAGCAGUGGAAGUUUAUCACACACAGGGAGGCUUGCUCCUUCCAAUGAUGAUGUAAGCGUAUAAGCAUUGUUGAGAGCUCUUUAAAACAGUGGCAGACAUUUCACCAAAGAAGAUAGAGGAAUAGCCAAUAAGCACAUGGAAAGAUGCUCACAUUAUGGGCACGGUGGUGCAUGCCUAUAAUCCUAGCACUUUGGGAGGCCGAGGCAGGAGGACUGCUUGAGCCCAGGAGUUUGAGACGAGCUUGGGCAACAUAGCAACACCCCCAUCUCUACAACAUUUUUUUUUUAAAUAGCUCAUGCCUGUAGUCCCAGCUACUCAGGAGCCUCAGGUGGGAGGAUCGCUUGAGUCUGGGAGUUCAAGGUUACAGUGAGCUAUGAUUGUGCCACUGCACUCCAGCCUGGGUGACAGAGUGAAACCCCAUCUCUUAAAGAAGAAAAAGACAUGCUCAACAUCAUUAGUCAUCAGGGAAACCCAAAUUAAAAUUACAAGAUACACCUACUCAAAUGGCUAAAGUUAAAGGAAAAAUAAGGCUGGAAAUAAUAAAUGCUGGCAUGGAUAUACAGCAACUGGAACUCUCAUUGCUGAUUGAAAAGCAAACAAAUGCUUUGGAAAACAUUUUGACAAUUUCAUAUAAAGUUAAACAUACACUAUUAAUAUAACUCUGAAAUUCAAUUCCUAGGUCUUUACCCAAGAGAUAAAAACAUAGCCAGGUGUGGUGGCUUACGCCUAUAAUCCCAGCAUGCCUGGGAGGCUGAGGCAGGCAGAUCACUUGAGCUCAGGAUUUCGAGACCAGCCUGCGCAACAUGGUAAAACCCUGUCUCUACCAGAAAUACAAAAAAAUUAUUUGGUAUGUUGGUACAUGUCUGUAGUCCCAGCUACUUGGGAGACUGAGGUGGGAGGAUUGCUUGAGACUGGGAAGAUGAGGUUGCAGUGAGUAGAGGUCAUGCCAAUGCACUCUAGUCUGAGUGACAGAGUGAGACUCUGUCUCAAACAAACAAACAAACAAAAUCCAAAACACAUAAGCCCACACAAACAUCUAUAUACAAAUGUUCAUGGCAGCUUUAUUCACAAUAGCAAAAAAUGGUAAACAACUCAAAUGUCCAUCAACUAUUGAAUGGAAAACUAACUGUGGUAUGCUCAUAUAAUGGGAUACUGUUCAACAAUAAAAAGGAACAACUGAUACAGACAAUGACAUGGAUGGAUUUCUAAUGCAUUAUGCUAAGUGAAAGCAGCCAGGCACCCAAGGCUACAAACGAAAAUUCCUGCACUUAUAUGGACUCUCCAGAAAAGGCAAAUCUAUAGGAACAGAAAAUCGAUCAGUGAUUGCCAGGAACAGCAGACUGACCAUGAAGGAGAUGAGACAACUUCUUGAUGUGAUGGAAAUAUUGUAUAUCUUAAUUAUGGUGAUGGCUGUACUGCUUAAACAUUUGUCAAAACUCAUCAAACUGUGCAUUUAAGAAGGGUGCCUUUUAUUGUAUAUAAGUUAUACUUUCCUAAAACUGAUUAAAAAAUAAAAACAAUGGGCUGGGAAAGGGAAGAAAAUAGGAUGGUCAUGGUCAUCCUUAUUGCAAAAGUGACCUCUAAGACUUGGAAGAGGAAGCAGGGGAGCUAGGGCUGAUCCCUGGGGGAAGAGCAUUCCAGGUGGGAGGGAACAGCCAGUGCUUCAGUGCCAGGCCAGGACAUGCUUGGCCUGCUCAGGAACCUGUAAGGAGUCGGUGUUGCUGAAGUGGAGCAAGAGGCCGGCCGUAGCGGGGCUCAGACAGGCAAAUGGGCAAGGGAUGGAUCAGGGCUGGGUAAGGGCUGGGUAAAG